rnacentral:rRNA from 1 species
AGGAUGAACGCUGGCGGCGUGCCUAAAACAUGCAAGUCAUACGGGCUACCUUCGGGUAGCCAGUGGCAAACGGGUGAGUAACACGUGGGAACGCGCCUUGGGGUGGGGAAUAACGCUGAGAAAUCAGUGCUAAUACCGCAUAUGGUCUAACGACUAAAGCAGCAAUGCGCCCCGAGAGCGGCCCGCGACCGAUUAGCUAGUUGGUGGGGUAAUGGCCUACCAAGGCGGUGAUCGGUAGCUGGUCUGAGAGGAUGGUCAGCCACACUGGGACUGCGAACGGCCCAGACUCCUACGGGAGGCAGCAGUUAGGAAUUUUCGGCAAUGGACGAAAGUCUGACCGAGCGACGCCGCGUGGAGGAUGACGCCUUUCGGGGUGUAAACUCCUUUUCUGCGGGAAGAGUAAUGACGGUACCGCAGGAAUAAGCACCGGCUAACUACGUGCCAGCAGCCGC